rnacentral:rRNA from 1 species
AGGGAAUCUUCGGCAAUGGACGAAAGUCUGACCGAGCAACGCCGCGUGAGUGAAGAAGGUUUUCGGAUCGUAAAACUCUGUUGUUAGAGAAGAACGUUGCAUAGAGUGGAAAAUUAUGCAAGUGACGGUAUCUAACCAGAAAGGGACGGCUAACUACGUGCCAGCAGCCGCGGUAAUACGUAGGUCCCGAGCGUUGUCCGGAUUUAUUGGGCGUAAAGCGAGCGCAGGUGGUUUAAUAAGUCUGAUGUAAAAAGGCAGUGGCUCAACCAUUGUGUGCAUUGGAAACUGUUAGACUUGAGUGCAGUAGAGGAGAGUGGAAUUCCAUGUGUAGCGGUGAAAUGCGUAGAUAUAUGGAGGAACACCGGUGGCGAAAGCGGCUCUCUGGACUGUCACUGACACUGAGGCUCGAAAGCGUGGGUAGCAAACAGGAUUAGAUACCCUGGUAGUCCACGCCGUAAACGAUGAGUGCUAGUUGUUUGGGGCUAUCCAGCCCUAAGUGACGCA